rnacentral:rRNA from 1 species
GACGAACGCUGGCGGUGUGCUUAACACAUGCAAGUCGAACGGUAAGGCCCUUUCGGGGGUACACGAGUGGCGAACAGGUGAGUAACACGUGAGUAACCUGCCCUCAUCUCUGGGAUAACAGUCGGAAACGGUUGCUAAUACUGGAUAUGAGCCUGCAAGGCAUCUUGUGGGUUGGAAAGAUUUUUUGGUUGGGGAUGGACUCGCGGCCUAUCAGCUUGUUGGUGAGGUAGUGGCUCACCAAGGCUUCGACGGGUAGCCGGCCUGAGAGGGCGACCGGCCACAUUGGGACUGAGAUACGGCCCAAACUCCUACGGGAGGCAGCAGUGGGGAAUAUUGCACAAUGGACGGAAGUCUGAUGCAGCAACGCCGCGUGCGGGAUGACGGCCUUCGGGUUGUAAACCGCUUUCAAUUGUGACGAAGCUUUUUGUGACGGUAGCAGUAGAAGAAGCACCGGCUAACUACGUG